rnacentral:lncRNA from 1 species
GUUCCGGUACAGCAAACAGCAUUUUCAUAUUCACAGCAGCCGUAUAUUAGGCAAUAAUCAUAGAAUUCAAAAAGGCAACAGCAUGUCUCAUCACUUGAACAAUAGGAAAAGUCUCCACAAUCACUUGGUGAAGGAGAUGGAGGUGGUGGUGGUGGUGGAGUUGAAGGAGGUGGCGGUGGAGGAACACUUGGCGAUGGAUAAGGGGAUGGUGAAGAGGAUUCUUUAGUUGGAUAAGAAGCCAUGGCAUUGACAGCACAAACACCAUAUGGUAAAUCAGUGUCUCUUUUUAGAUAGAAAUAUCCAUCUAUCCCCCAACUUGUUCCCCAUGAAUUCUUCACUAUCCAAUACUCUUCACUGCCUUCUGAACCAUAACCAACUAUUAAAACAGCAUGAUCAAUGUCAUCUGGAUCAUCCGAGCAGCUCCCAUCAUAA